rnacentral:rRNA from 1 species
CGCGGCCUAUCAGCUUGUUGGUGAGGUAACGGCUCACCAAGGCAUCGACGGGUAGCUGGUCUGAGAGGAUGAUCAGCCACACUGGGACUGAGACACGGCCCAGACUCCUACGGGAGGCAGCAGUGGGGAAUAUUGCACAAUGGGCGCAAGCCUGAUGCAGCAACGCCGCGUGCGGGAUGAAGGCCCUAGGGUUGUAAACCGCUUUCAGCAGGGAAGAGAAUGACGGUACCUGCAGAAGAAGGUGCGGCCAACUACGUGCCAGCAGCCGCGGUGACACGUAGGCACCAAGCGUUGUCCGGAUUUAUUGGGCGUAAAGAGCUCGUAGGCGGUUCAGUUAGUCGGGUGUGAAAACUCUGGGCUCAACCCAGAGACGCCACCCGAUACUGCUGUGACUAGAGUACGGUAGGGGAGUGGGGAAUUCCUGGUGUAGCGGUGAAAUGCGCAGAUAUCAGGAGGAACACCAGUGGCGAAGGCGCCACUCUGGGCCGUAACUGACGCUGAGGAGCGAAAGCAUGGGUAGCAAACAGGAUUAGAUACCCUGGUAGUCCAUGCCGUAAACGUUGGGCACUAGGUGUGGGUCUCAACCAACGAGAUCCGCGCCGUCGCUAACGCAUUAAGUGCCCCGCCUGGGGAGUACGG